GACGAACGCUGGCGGCGCGCCUAACACAUGCAAGUCGAACGAGCGAGAGAGAGCUUGCUUUCUCGAGCGAGUGGCGAACGGGUGAGUAACGCGUGAGGAACCUGCCUCAAAGAGGGGGACAACAGUUGGAAACGACUGCUAAUACCGCAUAAGCCCACGACCCGGCAUCGGGUCGAGGGAAAAGGAGCAAUCCGCUUUGAGAUGGCCUCGCGUCCGAUUAGCUAGUUGGUGAGGUAACGGCCCACCCAGGCGACGAUCGGUAGCCGGACUGAGAGGUUGAACGGCCACAUUGGGACUGAGACACGGCCCAGACUCCUACGGGAGGCAGCAGUGGGGAAUAUUGCAAAAUGGGGGAAACCCUGAUGCAGCGCCGCCGCGUGGAGGAAGAAGGUCUUCGGAUUGUAAACUCCUGUUGUUGAGGAAGAUAAUGACGGUACUCAACAAGGAAGUGACGGCUAACUACGUG
rnacentral:rRNA from 1 species